rnacentral:rRNA from 1 species
AAUGGGGAAACCCAGCAUGAGUUAUGUCAUGUUAUCGAUAUGUGAAUACAUAGCAUAUCAGAAGGCACACCCGGAGAACUGAAACAUCUUAGUACUCGGAGGAAGAGAAAGAAAAUUCGAUUCCCUUAGUAGCGGCGAGCGAAACGGGAAGAGCCCAAACCAACAAGCUUGCUUGUUGGGGUUGUAGGACACUCUAUACGGAGUUACAAAGGACGACAUUAGACGAAUCAUCUGGAAAGAUGAAUCAAAGAAGGUAAUAAUCCUGUAGUCGAAAAUGUUGUCUCUCUUGAGUGGAUCCUGAGUACGACGGAGCACGUGAAAUUCCGUCGGAAUCUGGGAGGACCAUCUCCUAAGGCUAAAUACUCUCUAGUGACCGAUAGUGAACCAGUACCGUGAGGGAAAGGUGAAAAGCACCCCGGAAGGGGAGUGAAAUAGAACCUGAAACCGUGUGCUUACAAGUAGUCAGAGCCCGUUAAUGGGUGAUGGCGUGCCUUUUGUAGAAUGAACCGGCGAGUUACGAUUUGAUGCAAGGUUAAGCAGUAAAUGUGGAGCCGUAGCGAAAGCGAGUCUGAAUAGGGCGUUUAGUAUUUGGUCGUAGACCCGAAACCAGGUGAUCUACCCUUGGUCAGGUUGAAGUUCAGGUAACACUGAAUGGAGGACCGAACCGACUUACGUUGAAAAGUGAGCGGAUGAACUGAGGGUAGCGGAGAAAUUCCAAUCGAACCUGGAGAUAGCUGGUUCUCUCCGAAAUAGCUUUAGGGCUAGCCUCAAGUGAUGAUUAUUGGAGGUAGAGCACUGUUUGGACGAGGGGCCCCUCUCGGGUUACCGAAUUCAGACAAACUCCGAAUGCCAAUUAAUUUAACUUGGGAGUCAGAACAUGGGUGAUAAGGUCCGUGUUCGAAAGGGAAACAGCCCAGACCACCAGCUAAGGUCCCAAAAUAUAUGUUAAGUGGAAAAGGAUGUGGCGUUGCCCAGACAACUAGGAUGUUGGCUUAGAAGCAGCCAUCAUUUAAAGAGUGCGUAAUAGCUCACUAGUCGAGUGACACUGCGCCGAAAAUGUACCGGGGCUAAACAUAUUACCGAAGCUGUGGAUUGUCCUUUGGACAAUGGUAGGAGAGCGUUCUAAGGGCGUUGAAGCAUGAUCGUAAGGACAUGUGGAGCGCUUAGAAGUGAGAAUGCCGGUGUGAGUAGCGAAAGACGGGUGAGAAUCCCGUCCACCGAUUGACUAAGGUUUCCAGAGGAAGGCUCGUCCGCUCUGGGUUAGUCGGGUCCUAAGCUGAGGCCGACAGGCGUAGGCGAUGGAUAACAGGUUGAUAUUCCUGUACCACCUAUAAUCGUUUUAAUCGAUGGGGGGGACGCAGUAGGAUAGGCGAAGCGUGCGAUUGGAUUGCACGUCUAAGCAGUAAGGCUGAGUAUUAGGCAAAUCCGGUACUCAUUAAGGCUGAGCUGUGAUGGGGAGAAGACAUUGUGUCUUCGAGUCGUUGAUUUCACACUGCCGAGAAAAGCCUCUAGAUAGAAAAUAGGUGCCCGUACCGCAAACCGACACAGGUAGUCAAGAUGAGAAUUCUAAGGUGAGCGAGCGAACUCUCGUUAAGGAACUCGGCAAAAUGACCCCGUAACUUCGGGAGAAGGGGUGCUCUUUAGGGUUAACGCCCAGAAGAGCCGCAGUGAAUAGGCCCAAGCGACUGUUUAUCAAAAACACAGGUCUCUGCUAAACCGUAAGGUGAUGUAUAGGGGCUGACGCCUGCCCGGUGCUGGAAGGUUAAGAGGAGUGGUUAGCUUCUGCGAAGCUACGAAUCGAAGCCCCAGUAAACGGCGGCCGUAACUAUAACGGUCCUAAGGUAGCGAAAUUCCUUGUCGGGUAAGUUCCGACCCGCACGAAAGGCGUAACGAUUUGGGCACUGUCUCAACGAGAGACUCGGUGAAAUCAUAGUACCUGUGAAGAUGCAGGUUACCCGCGACAGGACGGAAAGACCCCGUGGAGCUUUACUGUAGCCUGAUAUUGAAAUUCGGCACAGCUUGUACAGGAUAGGUAGGAGCCUUUGAAACGUGAGCGCUAGCUUACGUGGAGGCGCUGGUGGGAUACUACCCUAGCUGUGUUGGCUUUCUAACCCGCACCACUUAUCGUGGUGGGAGACAGUGUCAGGCGGGCAGUUUGACUGGGGCGGUCGCCUCCUAAAAGGUAACGGAGGCGCUCAAAGGUUCCCUCAGAAUGGUUGGAAAUCAUUCAUAGAGUGUAAAGGCAUAAGGGAGCUUGACUGCGAGACCUACAAGUCGAGCAGGGUCGAAAGACGGACUUAGUGAUCCGGUGGUUCCGUAUGGAAGGGCCAUCGCUCAACGGAUAAAAGCUACCCCGGGGAUAACAGGCUUAUCUCCCCCAAGAGUUCACAUCGACGGGGAGGUUUGGCACCUCGAUGUCGGCUCAUCGCAUCCUGGGGCUGUAGUCGGUCCCAAGGGUUGGGCUGUUCGCCCAUUAAAGCGGUACGCGAGCUGGGUUCAGAACGUCGUGAGACAGUUCGGUCCCUAUCCGUCGUGGGCGUAGGAAAUUUGAGAGGAGCUGUCCUUAGUACGAGAGGACCGGGAUGGACAUACCUCUGGUGUACCAGUUGUCGUGCCAACGGCAUAGCUGGGUAGCUAUGUGUGGACGGGAUAAGUGCUGAAAGCAUCUAAGCAUGAAGCCCCCCUCAAGAUGAGAUUUCCCAACUUCGGUUAUAAGAUCCCUCAAAGAUGAUGAGGUUAAUAGGUUCGAGGUGGAAGCAUGGUGACAUGUGGAGCUGACGAAUACUAAUCGAUCGAAGACUUAAUCAA